CACGGGGGGAGCAAGCGUUGUUCGGAAUUACUGGGCGUAAAGGGCGCGUAGGCGGCUUAUCAAGUCAGGCGUGAAAUUCCCGGGCUCAACCUGGGGGCUGCGCUUGAUACUGAUGAGCUUGAAUGCGGGAGAGGAUAGUGGAAUUCCCAGUGUAGAGGUGAAAUUCGUAGAUAUUGGGAAGAACACCGGUGGCGAAGGCGGCUAUCUGGCCCGUAAUUGACGCUGAGGCGCGAAAGCGUGGGGAGCAAACAGG
rnacentral:rRNA from 1 species